rnacentral:ncRNA from 1 species
CAAAGGCUUGGUCCUAACUUUAUUGUCAACUUUAGCUAAAAUUACACAUGCAAGUAUCCGCACCCCUGUGAGAAUGUCCUUAAACAUCUUAUGAAAUAAAGGAACUGGUAUCAGGCACACAAUUGUAGCCCAAAACACCUUGCUUAGCCACACCCCCAAGGGAAUUCAGCAGUGAUAAAUAUUAAGCAAUGAGUAUAAACUUGACUUAGUUAAAGCUAACAGGGCCGGUAAAACUCGUGCCAGCCACCGCGGUUAUACGAGAGGCUCAAGCUGACAGGAUCCGGCGUAAAGAGUGGUUAGGUAGUUUUAACUAAAGUAGAACACCCUUCAAGCUGUUAUACGCAUUCAAGGGUAUGAAAAUCUAUUGCGAAGGCAACUUUAAUAUACUGACUCCACGAAAGCUGUGACACAAACUGGGAUUAGAUACCCCACUAUGCAUAGCUGUAAACAUAGAUGUAUUACUUACCACUACAUCCGCCUGGGGACUACAAGCACCAGCUUGAAACCCAAAGGACUUGGCGGUGCUUUAGACCCCCCUAGAGGAGCCUGUUCUGUAACUGAUAACCCCCGUUAAACCUCACCCCUUCUUGCUCUAUCCGCCUAUAUACCGCCGUCGUCAGCUUACCCUAUGAAGGUCUUAUAGUAAGCAAAAGUGGUAAAACCCAAAACGUCAGGUCGAGGUGUAGUACAUGGAGGGGGAAGAAAUGGGCUACAUUCACCAAAUGGUGAAAACGAAUGGUUUAAUGAAAUAUAAACCUGAAGGUGGAUUUAGCAGUAAGAAGAAAAUAGAGUGUUCUUCUGAAACUGGCUCUUAAGCGCGCACACACCGCCCGUCACUCUCCCCCAGUGUACCCAAUAUAUAACUAAAACACUAGCUUCACAUAAGGGGAGACAAGUCGUAACAUGGUAAGUGUACCGGAAGGUGUACUUGGAAUAU